rnacentral:lncRNA from 1 species
CAAUAAUCUCUGCCUCCACUCCCACUGCAGCUUCUCCGGUCACAAGUCAUUAAGGACCUCUGGGUCUAAAGCCAAUGGCCCUUUUGCAGUCUUUCUCUUACGUGACACCGUAGGUCAUUAUGUCCUUAAUAGCACUACCUCAUCCUCUAUGACACCAUACUCUCUCCUCUUCUUUUCCUCUGACUGCCUUGGCUGCAUUUGCCCAGCCUCUUCUAUGGAACCCCAGACAUGAGAGUUGCUCAGGGUUCUCUCUUAAUUGAAGUCAUGAUGACUUCUUUUGACCCGUAAAAUUUUUAGAGGUAGAAGCUGUUGCCAUUAAUUUGAGGCCUUCUUUUCUGUAAUAGACCUGCAGUCUCACACCACAUGAUGAUAUUUCAGUUGAUGAUGGACCACAUAUACGAUGGUGGUUCUAUAAGAUGAGGACACUGAGAUUCUGAGAGGCCAAACAACUUGUCCAGGGUCACCCAGCAAACACAAGCAGAAAUAGAACCUGGAUUGAGGUUUGUCACAAGCCUGGAGUAGAGCAGAGGAUAUAUGAACUUCUAUUUCCCGUGACCAUUCGAGAAGCUAUGUUAGCGAGCAGGCCAUUGGGCACGUCAGGAUCAACACAGAAAGCAAAGUCAGAUCACAAGACCCCUGAGUGACUGGGAUGCAGCCUGCUAGACUGGACACACCCCCCACCUGCUGAGCUCUCUGGAGGUGCCGAGAGCCAAAGUACACACCAACGUCCAACAGUAUCUGCAUUAUGGUAGAAUGCCACUUGAAGCAAAUGUGUCCAUCGGAGUGAAUGACAGUCACCACCAGCAAUCCCAUCCUUCCAGUCAGUCUUGGAAGCCUUCUUAGAGCCGAGAAGUACCUAAAAACCAUGACUUAGCAAAGACUUAGAAAUUGUCCUUCCAUAGCAUUUAACAACCCAAAUAGCUUGUGCCAUUUAUUUGCUUUCUUAAUACAGGGACUCUUUAGUUCCCAACAGCUAACUGCUAGGAAUAGAUUGUGAUGUAGAGCUCUACCAUUAAUCCUGAAAGAAAUUAGCUAAACUUCCGAGUGAGAAGACUCAUGUGUCUGUUUCCUCAGCUCCCUAAAUAUGUCUUCAACUAUCACACACUAUAACUAUGAAAUAUGACUUCCUAACAGUCAAGCGCAUGACGGGAAAAGAGACGCUUCC